rnacentral:lncRNA from 1 species
UGAAAAAAAAGGUUUCAUCCUGAUAAGCUCGAACCCAAAACGGAUAAAUGCAUCUUCAUAUGACACCCAAAAUAGUUGGGUAUACCUCCUAUCUCAGAUCCGGAAGCAAAAGUGAUUGUUUUUUCAAACGGAUCCUUUCUCAAGGAAAAGUGUCUCUUGAAAGAAUUGAGUGGGAGGAUGGUGGAGACUUGAUGAGGUUAUUGAACCAUCACUUCAAACAGUGUGUAGCAGGGCACAGGAAGUUGUUCCUGUGGCGCCUACACCAGUUGAAGUAGAAGAUGAUGAUAGUGAUCAUGAAACUUUGGAUCAAGUCACUACCAAACCUUGUAGGUCGACAAGGACGCAUACUGCUUCAGAGUGGUAUGGUAAUCAUGUCUUGGAGGUCAUGUUGCUAGACAACAAUGAACCUACGAGCUAUGGAGAAGCGAUGGUGGGCCCAGAUUCCGACAAAUGGCUCGAGGCCAUAAAAUCCGAGAGGAUCCAUGUAUGAAAACAAAGUGUAGAUUUUGGAAGAACUACUUAAUGGUCGUAAGGCCGUUGGGUGCAAAUGGAUUUUAAAAGGAAGACAAACAAUGAUGGUAAGUGUCACCAUUAAGAAAGCUCGACUUGUCGCUAAGAUCUUUUUUGACAAGUUCAAGGAGUUGACUUCAAUGAGACUUUCUCACUCGUAGCGAUGCUAAGAGUCGGUUGGAAUUAUAUUAGCAAUUACUACAUUAUUUAUGAAAUCUUACAAAUAGGAUGUCAAAACAUUGUUUCCUCGACAAGUUGUUUGAGGAAAGGUUGUAUGUGAUACAACCAAAAGGUUUUGUCAAUCCUAAAAGAUGCUAACAAGUAUGCAAAGCUACAGCAAUCCUUCUAAGGACUGGAGUAAGCAUCUCGAAGUUUGAAUAUACACUUUGAUGAGAUGAUCAAAGAUUUUGGGUUUAUACAAAGUUUAUGAGAAACCUGUAUUUCCAAAGAAGUGAGUGGGAGCACUAUAGAAUUUCUGAUGAGUAUAUGUUGUUGACAUAUUGAUUGGAAAUGAUGUAUAAUUUCUAGAAAGCAUAUAGGGUUAUUUGAAAAGUAUUUUUUAAUGGAAAACCUGGAUUAAGCUAUUUGAACAUUGAGCAUCAAGAUCUAUAAGGAUAGAUCAAAAUCAGUUGAUAAUACUUUCAAAUGAAUAUGUACCGUGACAAGAUUUUGAAGGAGUUCAAAAUAGAUCGGCAAAGAAGGAGUUCUUGGCUGUGUUAUUGCCAUGAGUCAGUCAAGGGGUACAAGAGUGAUCCAGGAAUGGAUCACUAGACAACGGUCAAAGUUAUCCUUAGUGGACUAAGAAAUUUUUCUCGAUUAUGGAGGUGGUAAAAGAGUUCGUCGUAAAGGGUUAUGAUGAUGCAAACUUUGACACUAAUCUAGAUGACUCUGAGUAGUAAACCGGAUCCAUAUAGUAGAACAGUUAUUUGGAAUAGUUCCAAAUAGCGUGUGGUAGCCGCAUCUACAAGAUGACGUAGAGAUUUGUAAAGCACACACGGAUCUGAAGGGUUCAGAACCGUUGACUAAUAACCUCUCCCACAAGAAAGAUAUGAUCAAAUCCCAUGGGUGUUGGAUUCAUUACAAUCACAUAGUGAUGUGAACUAGAUUAUUGACUCUAGUGCAAGUGGGAGACUGUUGGAAAUAUGCCCUAUAGGCAAUAAUAAAAAUGUUUAUUAUUAUAUUUCCUUGUUCAUGAUAAUUGUCAAUUAUUCAUGCUAUAAAUGUAUUAACCGGAAACCGUAAUACAUGUGUGAAUACAUAGACCACAACAUGUCCCUAGUAAUCCUAUAGUUGACUAGCUCGUUGAUCAAUAAAUGGUUAUGGUUUCCUGACCAUGGACAUUGGAUGUCGUUGAUAACGGGAUCACAUCCUUAGGAGAAUGGUGUGAUGGACAAGACCCAAUCCUAAGCAUAGCACAACAUCGCAUAGUUCGUUUGCUGAAGCUUUUCUCAUGUCAAGUUUCAUUUACUUAGACCAUGAGAUUGUGCAACUCCCAGAUACCGUAGGAAUGCUUUGGGUGUAUCAAACGUUACAACGUAACUGGGUGGCUAUAAAGGUGCACUACAGGUAUCUCCGAAAGUGUCUGUUGGGUUGGCACGAAUUGAGAUUGGGAUUUGUCCCUUCGUAUGACGGAGAGGUAUCUCUGGGCCCACUCGGUAAUGCAUCAUCAUAAUGAGCUCAAUGUGACUAAUGAGUUAUCCACGGGAUCAUGCAUUACAGAACGAGUAAAGAGACUUGCCGGUAACGAGAUUGAACAAGGUAUAGGGAUACUGACGAUCGAAUCUCCGGCAAGUAACAUACCGGUGGACAAAGGGAAUUGUAUACGGGAUUGAUUGAAUCCCCGACAUUGUGGUUCAUCCAAUGAGAUCAUCGUGGAACAUGUGGGAGCCAAUAUGGGUAUCCAGAUCCUGCUAUUGGUUAUUGGCCGGAGAGGUGGGGGCGCCACUCCUAGGGCAGCCGCCCUCCCGGCUUGGGGGGCAAGUUUCCUAGGGGAUGGGGGCGCCCAAACCCAUCUAGGGUUUCCCUUGGCCGCCCACUCCCUCCUCUAGAUCCAUCUAGAGGGGCCGGCCCCCUCUCCCCUUCCCCCUAUAUAUAGUGAGGGGGUGGGAGGGCAGCCACACCUUUCCCUUGGCGCAGCCCCUCCCUCCCCAACACCUCCUCCUCCUUCGUAGAGCUUGGCGAAGCCCUGCAGAAAUACCACAAGCUCCACCACCACGCCGUCGUGCUGCCGGAGCUCUCCCUCAACUUCUCCUCUCCCCUUGCUACGUGUGUUGAACACGGAGGCGUGGUCCGUUCGGCGCUAGAUCGGAUCUUCCGCGAUUUGAAUCGCCGCGAGUACGACUCCGUCAUCCACAUUCUAGUGACGCUUCCGCUUAGCAAUCUUCAAGAGGUAUGAAGAUGCACUCCCUCUCUCUCUUUCUCGUUGCUAGAAUCUCCUAGAUUGGUCUUGGUGAUAUGUAGAAUUUUUUUGAAUUAUUGCUACGUUCCCCAACAUUACCUAGGUAUGCCCACCGAGGUUGGCAGAUCCCCAACAAGCACUUUCAAAUUCUUGACGGACAGAGCUUGGCAAAAUAGUCACGGUUGGUCUGAUCGGCCUAUAUCUAGGGCUGGGAAUGAAACUUUGUUGAAAUCUAUCACACAGACUAUUCCCACCUUUAUAUCAAGCGGCUUCCGCCUCCGUAUUGCUACUUCUGAGAAGUUUCGCCAAAUUGUGGCUGAUCAAUGGUGGGGUCGAGAGGAUGGAAAGAAGAAACUUCACUAGAGGUCUUGGGCAUGGCUUUCAACCCCAAAGCCACUUGGUGGUAUGGGUUUCCGGGAUAUGUCAUUGUUUAAUCAAGCGAUGCUCGGUAAGCAGGGCUGGAGACUUCUAACGGAACCUGAUUCUUUAUGCGCCCGUGUCUUGAAAGGAAGGUAUUUUCCGACUGGGAACUUUUGGAGUGCCUCAGCACCUCGGACUGCAUCGGCAACUUGGCGUGCUAUCCUUCAUGGCCGAGAGCUGUUGAAACAAGGUGUACAGUGGGGUGUUGGUGAUGGAAGAAGCGUUCAUAUUUUGUCUGAUCAUUGGAUACCGUCUACUCCACCGAUAGUGCUGCACACUAUUUCACCCAUCCCGGCGACGACCACGGUCCAUUGUCUUGUCGACAAAGAGAACAUAUGCUGGGAUGAAGGAAUGGUGAGGGCUUUCUUUUCUGAAAGAGUGGCUUAUGAGAUCCUUCAUAUUCCAAUUCACGGGAUAGGCAGUCCAGAUUAUGUCUGUCUGGUCUCCUUAUAACUUGGCAAGAACAAGACAUUUCUCAAUGGCUCGCAAUGGCAAAGGACAGGGCCAGAGUUCAAAUUGGCCGGAGGAGGAAAAGUUAUGGAAAGCACUAUGGAGAGUCAAGGCUCCCAACAAAAUUAAAAUUGUGUUAUGGCAUUUGGCUCAUGAUUUUCUUCCCUCAGGCGAGCAACUGCGCCCUCGCCAUGUCCUGACUUGGACUGAUUGCUUCUUCUGUGGCAGGCCGGAGAGUGUGGAACACAUUCUACUAUUCUGUCCUCAUGCUUGUGCAGUUUGAGAGGCGAUCAAGGAGACUUUUGAAAUCAAACUAUGUCGGUCGUCCUUCGCAUCACCUAAGCAAUGGCUAUUCGAUUAUGUAUCCCGAUGCUCUUUUUGGGAAGCAACGGUGACGAUUUGGCAUAUUUGGGAGGCUUGCAACACUGCGAGAAAUGAACCGAAAGCCCCACAUCUGAAGCGCACAGCAGCUAGGACCCAUGCCUAUAUUGAGUUGAUCAUCCAGCACUUGUACAAACCGGUACCUGAUCACAGGCGUGAGACCUCUUCGUCGAAUCCUCUCAGGUCCCCGCCGCCGGUAGGUAAGCUGGUUGUGUUCUCUGAUGCUGUCGUUUUUGAAGAUCUGAAUAAAGCUGGAGUGGGUGUUGUGAUUCUGGACCAUUUGGGUCGGUGUGUGGCUGCUUGCUCUGAAACUCUUAACGGAAUUCUGAAUCCUGAAGUGGCUGAAGCCUUGGCGCUUCGCCGCGCGGUCAGGUUUGCGCGAGAUGGAGGCUUUGCUGAUCUGGUCUUCAAAUCGGACUGCCUCUCUGUGGUGCAACGGUUGGCUUCUUCGGCCAGGGAUCGUUCUGUCGUUGGCUCCAUUGUGAAUGAUAUCAAGGUCGUGGCAAGUGAUCUUCCUGAUGCCUCGUUCGUGCAAGUUCGUCGGCACUUCAAUAUCUUAGCUCAUGUUUUAGCUAGAUCAAGUUUGAACUCUUCUUGUCCUUGUACUUUUCAUUCUGCUCCGUGGUGCAUCCGGAAGACUCUUUGUAAAUUUGUUGCUUGAUCAUAAAGGCCGACGUUCUCUAAAAAAGACUACUACGCUGAUCAACGUGGGGCGGCGGCGGACGCACACAUGGACAGAUCCUGGUCACAUGGUCCAGUAAUUUUUCUUUGAGGUGCAUGAUCUAGUAAUUUUUAAUUCAACUAGAACAAUGUCCGUGCGUUGCAACGGGAUAUAUAAAUAUUCUAGUCGUUAGCUUUUGAUUUACCUGUCAAUAAUAAUGUGAUUAUGUAAAUAAAUAUUUAUCAAAUUCUGCCCGUGAAUUACCUUAUAUUUUGAUUAGAAAUUUGGUAAGUAAAUUAAAGUGAAAUUGUUUUAUAAGGUGAUCAAUUAUCACAUACAUGAAAGGUUGGACGGAAGGAUGAUGUAAAGAAAGCUAAAAUGAGAACCUUAUUUCUUUUAAAUAGUAUAGAGACUAGGUAACCAUACGGUGUUGCAUGCGGUUUGUUAAUCAUCCGACGUAGUAUAUGCACACGCCAUGCCGCAUAUGAACACGUACACACACCACACAGACGCACACACGUAGACACGCGUGCGCACACACGCAGAGGAUAGCAGCAGCUUCAUAUCCAGGCCAAGUCGUGAGAGGAUAGCAGCACUGUCUGACACUCAUGGCUUCCGCGCCAGAAUGGAAAUAAAAAAAGGUUUUCCAAGAAGGAAUAGUGAAAUUUUCGCAAAACAAGAAAUUUUCGAAGGAAUGAAUGAAUAGUAUUUGCAUUACCCUUAAAAAAGAAAAUAAUAUCAAAACUAAAACAAAAUCAAAAUAGUGAAGUUUUCUAUAAAACAAUUUACAUAAAAAAUGUGUUUUCUAUAAUAUGUAAGAAUAAAUAUAUAAUAGUGGAAUCAUCGUAUACAAAUGUUUUCUAAGAUGGAAUGAAUGAAUGACAUUGGUAUUUUCCUUAAAACAAGAAAGUAAAUUUAGCAAAAAGGCAAAACAUAAUAAAAAUGAUUUUUUUCUAAAAAAAGAAUGAAUUAAUGACAUUGCAAUUACACUUUAAGGAAAAAGGGGAAAAACUAGUAAUGACAAAAAUUGCACGCAUUUUACACAGAAAUUAUGCUUUAAAUAAUAUGCAAUAAUAAGGAUAUAAUAGUGAAAUAUUUGCAAAUAAGGAAAUUUCCUAAGAACGAAUGAAUUAGUGGCACUGUAAUUACCAUUAAAUAAGAAAUAAAAUAACAAACAAAUCAAAAAUAAAAUAACAAAGUUUUAUUAAGAAAGAAUGAAUAGUAGCUUUGGUAUUACACUUUAAGAAGAAAGAAAUAAAAUAAAAACUAAAACAUAAUCAAAAUAAUGAAAGUUCCCUAAGAAAGAAUGAAUUAGUGGCAUUGGUAUUUCCCUUUAAGAAGAAACUUAAUAAAAAUUAAUAGAACAAACAAUGAGAAAAAUUACACAUAAUUUACAAAUAAGUUGGACUUUUUUAUAAUAUGCAAGACGAAACAUUAAAUAGUAGAAUUCUUACAAAGAAAGAAAGUUUCCUAAGAAGGAGUGGAUUAGUGACAUUGGUUUUACCAUUAAAGAAGAAAUAAAUACUAAAUCAAAAACAAAAUAAUGAAGUUUUGUAAGAAAGAAUGACUUAGUGGUUCUGGUAUUACGCUUCCAAAGAAAGAAGUGAAAUAAAUAGUAAAACAAAAUCAAAAUAUUGAAGUUUUAUAAGUAAGAAUGAAUUAGUGGCAUUUGGAUUACCUUUUUAGAAGAAAGAAAUGAUAAAAAAUAAAAAUAGAAAAAUUUGCACACAAUAUAGACAAAAAAUUGCUCUUUCAAUAACAUGCAAUAAUAUGCAUAUGGUAGUGGGAUUUUUGCAAAAAAGAAUUAUCUAAGAGGCAAUGAAUUAGGGGCAUUGGUAUUACCCUUAAAAAAGAAACAAAGUAAAAUAGUAACUAAAAAACAAAAUAAUGAAGUUGUUAUAAGGAAAAAUGACUUAGUGGCAUUAGUAUUAGUAUUUAAGAAGAAAAGAAAAGAAGUAAAAAAUAAAAAAAUAAAAAUAAUCAGAUUUUCUAAGAAAUAAUGAAUUGUUGGCAUUGGUAUUACCCUUUAAGUAGAAAGAAAAUAAAAAAAGAAUCUAAAAAAAUGUGCACACAAUCUCUAGUACUCAAAAAGAAUGUAAGGUUCCCAUUUCACCUUUCUUCCCACCACCCCUUCGUCCAACCUUCCAUGUAUAUGAUAAUCAAUCACCUUUUUACUUAUGUUGUGAACCAAUUCGACUUUAAUUACUUACCAAACUUCUAAUCAAAAUAUAAAAUAACCCACGGUGAGAAUUUGUUGAACAUUUAUUUACACAUUCACAUUAUUAGGUAAAUCACAAGCUAACGUAUUAGAAUAUUUAUAUCUUGUUGCAACACACGGGCAUUGUUCUAGUAUACACAAAAAUUGCGCUUUUUAAAAAUAGGCAAGAAUAAACAUAAAAUAGUGAUUUUUUUGUAAAAAAAUAAAUUCUAAAAAAUAAUGAAUUAGUGGCAUUGGUAUUAGCCUUAAAGAAGAAAGAAAAUGAAAUAAUAUCUAAAUCAAAAUAAUAAUAAAGUUUAUAAGGAACAAUGAAUUGGCGUCAUUCGUAUUACUAUUUAAGAAGGAAGAUAAUGAAAAAGGCUAAAAAAAACUUGCACACAACUGUCUAAUUGCACUUUUGAUAGUAUAUAAAAAAACAAUCAUAUAAUAGUGUAAUUUUCGCACAUAUUGGAUUGUAUUCGUGUAUAAACAUUUACACUCAUCCAACAUCCUAAAAAUACCUACAAAAGAAACAAUUAAUACAGAAAAACAAAAAAACAAGAGGAGAGAUGCAUCAAAAUAGUAAAACAUAAAGAAACAAAGGGCACUGUAUUCAUGUAUAAACAUUUACACUCAUCCAACAUCCUAAAAUACCUACAAAAGAAACAAUUAAUAAAGAAAAACAAAAAAACAAAAUGAGAAAUGCAUCAAAACAGAAAAACAUAAAGAAACAAAGGGAGAGAGGGAGGACUGGGCAGUAUAGUUAAUGGGCUUUAACCAGCCAGUCAAAAAAGCAGUCCAGCUCACAAAACAGCCCAGAAAAAAUACACAAAUCUCUGAGGAGAAAUCAAUGGUGCAAAAAAUCUAACUGAACCAAGAUUAAUUUUAGAGAUUUCAAUAUGGGUCUGUCUAGGACACAUCUAGAUUUGACAUCGUUAUGUCACAUCUAACGUCAUGUCCACUAUGCUUGUGGUUUUUUUUUGUCUCAGAUUUUUUUUCCUUGUUGCUGUGUUAUUUAUGGGAGAUUAGAUAUGACAUCCUUAAAAAACAUCUAAAUGUGAAUUAGCCAAACUGUUUCAAUAUAAGUCUUUUUAAAGGUUUCAUUAUAGACUACAUAUGGAUGUAGUAUAUAGACGUAUUGUAGAGUUUUGAUUCACUCAUUUUGCCUUGUAUGUAGUCCAUAUUGAAAUCUCUAGAAAGAGAAACGGAGUGAUAUUUUUUUUUGUGAGCAUUAAGGAAGGACUGGUGGUUUACAUGCAUGCAUUUGAGUAAACGUGUUAUAAAUGAUAUGCAAAAUGCUGUCAUAAUUAAGAUCUUUUGCUCAUAGUGGUGAAACGGAGUUGAGCUACUCUUCCGAUUUACUAUAACUCAUGAUCCACGGCACAAUGAACACGACUAGAGAAGGCAUGUGAAGAAGAAAACACCAUGAUCAUUCAGCACUACAUAGGGAGUGUUCACAAACCAUCGCCACUACAUCUUGAUUAGGAUUGAUCGAGAACCUGCCAUGCACAUCCAAAACAAGCGAGCCUGCAUGCAGACGCCACUACCACCUCCAGGUUCCAUGGAAACUCACCCACCUUAACCUUAGCCAACGCAACAACCUUAGCUACUGCUAAUCCGCUACUACCAUCCUCGAACACUACCUGCUACUCCUCCUGCUGCAGCUGCGAUGCCGGUGCUAGCGACGACGCCGCUGGCC